rnacentral:rRNA from 1 species
UAGGGAAUCUUCGGCAAUGGGGGCAACCCUGACCGAGCAACGCCGCGUGAGUGAAGAAGGUUUUCGGAUCGUAAAGCUCUGUUGUAAGAGAAGAACGAGUGUGAGAAUGGAAAGUUCAUACUGUGACGGUACUUAACCAGAAAGGGACGGCUAACUACGUGCCAGCAGCCGCGGUAAUACGUAGGUCCCGAGCGUUGUCCGGAUUUAUUGGGCGUAAAGCGAGCGCAGGCGGUUAGAAAAGUCUGAAGUGAAAGGCAGUGGCUCAACCAUUGUAGGCUUUGGAAACUGUUUAACUUGAGUGCAGAAGGGGAGAGUGGAAUUCCAUGUGUAGCGGUGAAAUGCGUAGAUAUAUGGAGGAACACCGGUGGCGAAAGCGGCUCUCUGGUCUGUAACUGACGCUGAGGUUCGAAAGCGUGGGUAGCAAACAGGAUUAGAUACCCUGGUAGUCCACGCCGUAAACGAUGAAUGCUAGGUGUUGGAGGGUUUCCGCCCUUCAGUGCCGCAGCUAACGCAAUAAGCACUCCGCCUGGGGAGUACGACCGCAAGGUUG